rnacentral:rRNA from 1 species
AGAAUCAACGCUGGCGGCGUGCCUAACACAUGCAGGUCGAACGAGAAAGUGGAGCAAUCCAUGAGUAAAGUGGCGACCGGGUGAGUAACACGUGACUAACCUACCUUCGAGUGGGGGAUAACAUCGGGAAACCGAUGCUAAUACCGCAUAACAUCGCAAGAUCAAAGCAGCAAUGCGCUGGAAGAGGGGGUCGCGGCUGAUUAGCUAGUUGGCGGGGUAACGCCCACCAAGGCGAAGAUCGGUAGCCGGCCUGAGAGGGCGCACGGCCACACUGGAACUGAAACACGGUCCAGACUCCUACGGGAGGCAGCAGUGGGGAAUUUUGCGCAAUGGGGGAAACCCUGACGCAGCAACGCCGCGUGGAGGAUGAAGCCCCUUGGGGUGUAAACUCCUUUCGACCAAGACGAUAAUGACGGUACUGGUGGAAGAAGCACCGGCUAACUCUGCGCCAGCAGCCGC